rnacentral:rRNA from 1 species
UGGGGAAUAUUGCACAAUGGGCGCAAGCCUGAUGCAGCCAUGCCGCGUGUGUGAAGAAGGCCUUCGGGUUGUAAAGCACUUUCAGCGAGGAGGAAGGUGGUGAACUUAAUACGUUCAUCAAUUGACGUUACUCGCAGAAGAAGCACCGGCUAACUCCGUGCCAGCAGCCGCGGUAAUACGGAGGGUGCAAGCGUUAAUCGGAAUUACUGGGCGUAAAGCGCACGCAGGCGGUUUGUUAAGUCAGAUGUGAAAUCCCCGGGCUCAACCUGGGAACUGCAUUUGAAACUGGCAAGCUAGAGUCUCGUAGAGGGGGGUAGAAUUCCAGGUGUAGCGGUGAAAUGCGUAGAGAUCUGGAGGAAUACCGGUGGCGAAGGCGGCCCCCUGGACGAAGACUGACGCUCAGGUGCGAAAAGCGUGGGGAGCAAACAGGAUUAGAUACCCCUGGUAGUCCACGCUGUAAAACGAUGUCGAUUUUGGAGGUUGUGCCCUUGAGGCGUGGCUUCCGGAGCUAACGCGUUAAAUCGACCGCCUGGGGAGUACGGCCGCAAGGUU